UAACUUUCAGCAACGGAUCUCUUGGCUCUCGCAUCGAUGAAGAACGCAGCGAAAUGCGAUAAGUAAUGUGAAUUGCAGAAUUCAGUGAAUCAUCGAAUCUUUGAACGCACCUUGCGCCCCUUGGUAUUCCGAGGGGCAUGCCCGUUUGAGUGUCAUUG
rnacentral:rRNA from 1 species